UAUGUGAUCGUCUCUCGCAUAUCAAUAAGCGGAGGAAAAGAAACUAACAAGGAUUCCCCUAGUAACGGCGAGUGAAGCGGGAAGAGCUCAAAUUUGAAAUCUUAAAGGGUUUCCCUUUACGAAUUGUAGUUUAAAGAAGUGUUUUCUGUUGAGGUUUUGGUAAAAGUUCUUUGGAAUAGGACAUCAUAGAGGGUGAGAAUCCCGUAUUUGACCUUUACUUUCAACUUUGUGAUACACUUUCAAAGAGUCGGAUUGUUUGGGAAUGCAGUCCAAAAUGGGUGGUAAAUUUCAUCUAAAGCUAAAUAUUGGCGAGAGACCGAUAGCGAACAAGUACCGUGAGGGAAAGAUGAAAAGAACUUUGAAAAGAGAGUUAAACAGUACGUGAAAUUGUCAAAAGGGAAGCGUUUGACACCAGUGUUGUUUUUCUGAAAAUCAAUUAAAGAACUGUUUAUGCUAAGUUGUUUAGACUUUAUCAGCUAACUGUUUAGUUUUGAGCUUUUCUUUAAUGCACUUUUCAGUUAGCAAGUCAACAUCAAUUUCUUUUGCUGUAAAAAAGCUUGAGGAAGGUGGCUUGAGAUUCGUCUUAAGUGUUUAUAGCCUCUUGCCUAUGCAGUCGGAGAGAUUGAGGUCUGCAGCGUAGAUCCUUCGGGGCUAAAUGCAUUUGUGCUAAGUUAUAGCAUUUUAUAGACAACUUGUUGACUAUGAUUUGUCUUGUAGCUUACUCGCUUAUGUUAUUUUACCUACGCUUAGGAUGUUGACACACGCGCGUGCUCG
rnacentral:rRNA from 1 species